UUCCAUGUUGUCAAUGAGCCUAACCUUUCCAAACCAUACUGCUACACAAAAUACAACUGGUCUCUUGAUGGUUUCCACUGGCUCUAAACUUUCUUGAUCCACAAUCUGAUGCAAGGAAGGUGUCAGCAAUGAGGUUCAUGUCCGGAUAAAGCUUCCAAGACACUAAAGAUACCAAAUACUGGUGAUGUGUGUACUAGUUCAAGAGGGUAGUAAAGGAGAAGUGGUGUAACUAGAGAGCUUUAUCAUGUUACUCGCUCCUUAAAAAAGCCGUUGUAUGGUACUCGUGUAUUCUAUUGGUAAAUAUAUGUUACAGCUAGAGGACCUUGAAAGCACUAUUGACAAGAUUAUGCCAUACUUCCUUCAGUAAUUUGUUUAUCUA